UACAGAGGGGCAAGCGUUAUUCGGAAUUAUUGGGCGUAAAGGGCGCGUAGGCGGCUUUGCAAGUGACGGGUGAAAUCCCUCGGCUUAAACCCGAGGAACUGCCUGUCAGACUGCAUGGCUUGAGACCAGGAAGAGGUGAGUGGAAUUCCCAAGUGUAGCGGUGAAAUGCGUAGAUAUUGGGAGGAACACCAGUGGCGAAGGCGGCUCACUGGACUGGUACUGAACGCUGAGGCGCGAAAACGUGGGAGCA
rnacentral:rRNA from 1 species